GCUCAGGAUGAACGCUGGCGGCGUGCUUAACACAUGCAAGUCGAGCGAAGCGCUUUUGCGGAUUUCUUCGGAUUGAAGCGACUGUGACUGAGCGGCGGACGGGUGAGUAACGCGUGGGUAACCUACCUCAUACAGGGGGAUAACAGUUGGAAACGGCUGCUAAUACCGCAUAAGCGCACAGUACCGCAUGGUACCGUGUGAAAAACUCCGGUGGUAUGAGAUGGACCCGCGUCUGAUUAGCUAGUUGGUGGGGUAACGGCCUACCAAGGCGACGAUCAGUAGCCGACCUGAGAGGGUGACCGGCCACAUUGGGACUGAGACACGGCCCAAACUCCUACGGGAGGCAGCAGUA
rnacentral:rRNA from 1 species